AUGCUGCAAGUCGAACGCACAGCGAAAGGUGCUUGCACCUUUCAGUGAGUGGCGAACGGGUGAGUAACACGUGGACAACCUGCCUCAAGGCUGGGGAUAACAUUUGGAAACAGAUGCUAAUACCGAAUAAAACUUAGUGUCGCAUGACACAAAGUUAAAAGGCGCUUCGGCGUCACCUAGAGAUGGAUCCGCGGUGCAUUAGUUAGUUGGUGGGGUAAAGGCCUACCAAGACAAUGAUGCAUAGCCGAGUUGAGAGACUGAUCGGCCACAUUGGGACUGAGACACGGCCCAAACUCCUACGGGAGGCUGCAGUAGGGAAUCUUCCACAAUGGGCGAAAGCCUGAUGGAGCAACGCCGCGUGUGUGAUGAAGGCUUUCGGGUCGUAAAGCACUGUUGUAUGGGAAGAACAGCUAGAAUAGGAAAUGAUUUUAGUUUGACGGUACCAUACCAGAAAGGGACGGCUAAAUACGUGCCAGCAGCCGCGGUAAUACGUAUGUCCCGAGCGUUAUCCGGAUUUAUUGGGCGUAAAGCGAGCGCAGACGGUUUAUUAAGUCUGAUGUGAAAGCCCGGAGCUCAACUCCGGAAUGGCAUUGGAAACUGGUUAACUUGAGUGCAGUAGAGGUAAGUGGAACUCCAUGUGUAGCGGUGGAAUGCGUAGAUAUAUGGAAGAACACCAGUGGCGAAGGCGGCUUACUGGACUGCAACUGACGUUGAGGCUCGAAAGUGUGGGUAGCAAACAGGAUUAGAUACCCUGGUAGUCCACACCGUAAACGAUGAACACUAGGUGUUAGGAGGUUUCCGCCUCUUAGUGCCGAAGCUAACGCAUUAAGUGUUCCGCCUGGGGAGUACGACCGCAAGGUUGAAACUCAAAGGAAUUGACGGGGACCCGCACAAGCGGUGGAGCAUGUGGUUUAAUUCGAAGCAACGCGAAGAACCUUACCAGGUCUUGACAUCCUUUGAAGCUUUUAGAGAUAGAAGUGUUCUCUUCGGAGACAAAGUGACAGGUGGUGCAUGGUCGUCGUCAGCUCGUGUCGUGAGAUGUUGGGUUAAGUCCCGCAACGAGCGCAACCCUUAUUGUUAGUUGCCAGCAUUCAGAUGGGCACUCUAGCGAGACUGCCGGUGACAAACCGGAGGAAGGCGGGGACAACUUCGAAUCAUCAUGCCCCUUUUAACCGGGGCUACACCCGGGCUACAAGGGGGUAAACAACAAAUUGCCACCCGCCGGGGGGGGCUAAUUCCUUAAAGACG
rnacentral:rRNA from 1 species